UUUCAACCCUCAAGCCUUGCUUGGUGUUGGGGCAUUACCUGAGACCGCCUCCGGGCGGGCCGGGUAAGCCCUGAAAUUUAGUGGCGAGCUCGCCAGGACUCCGAGCGCAGUAGUAAAACCCUCGCUUUGGACUGUACUGGCGCGGCCCUGCCGUAAAACCCCCGACUUCUGAAAAU
rnacentral:misc_RNA from 1 species